AUGAACGCUGGCGGCGUGCCUAAUACAUGCAAGUCGAGCGAACAGACGAGGAGCUUGCUCCUCUGACGUUAGCGGCGGACGGGUGAGUAACACGUGGAUAACCUACCUAUAAGACCGGGAUAACUUCGGGAAACCGGAGCUAAUACCGGAUAAUAUAUUGAACCGCUUGGUUCAAUAGUGAAAGACGGUUUUGCUGUCACUUAUAGAUGGAUCCGCGCCGCAUUAGCUAGUUGGUAAGGUAACGGCUUACCAAGGCAACGAUGCGUAGCCGACCUGAGAGGGUGAUCGGCCACACUGGAACUGAGACACGGUCCAGACUCCUACGGGAGGCAGCAGUAGGGAAUCUUCCGCAAUGGGCGAAAGCCUGACGGAGCAACGCCGCGUGAGUGAUGAAGGUCUUCGGAUCGUAAAACUCUGUUAUUAGGGAAGAACAAAUGUGUAAGUAACUAUGCACGUCUUGACGGUACCUAAUCAGAAAGCCACGGCUAACUACGUG
rnacentral:rRNA from 1 species